rnacentral:rRNA from 1 species
UAGGGGGCAAGCGUUAUCCGGAUUUACUGGGUGUAAAGGGAGCGUAGACGGCUGAGCAAGUCUGAAGUGAAAGCCCGGGGCCCAACCCCGGGACUGCUUUGGAAACUGCACAGCUGGAGUACAGGAGGGGCAGGCGGAAUUCCUGGUGUAGCGGUGAAAUGCGUAGAUAUCAGGAGGAACACCGGCGGCGAAGGCGGCCUGCUGGACUGAAACUGACGUUGAGGCUCGAAAGCGUGGGGAGCAAA